rnacentral:rRNA from 1 species
AUACGUAGGGGGCGAGCGUUGUCCGGAAUGAUUGGGCGUAAAGGGCGCGUAGGCGGCGCGGUAAGUCUGGAGUGAAAGUCCUGCUUUCAAGGUGGGAAUUGCUUUGGAUACUGCCGCGCUUGAGUGCAGGAGAGGUUAUCGGAAUUCCCGGUGUAGCGGUGAAAUGCGUAGAGAUCGGGAGGAACACCAGUGGCGAAGGCGGGUAACUGGACUGCAACUGACGCUGAGGCGCGAAAGUGUGGGGAGCAAACAGGAGUAGAUACCCUGGUAGUCCACACUGUAAACGAUGAAUGCUAGGUGUAAGAGGUAUCGACCCCUUUUGUGCCGGAGUUAACACAAUAAGCAUUCCGCCUGGGGAGUACGGCCGCAAGGUUGAAACUCAAAUGAAUUGACGGGG